CGUCUAUAUACAUAGAUACCCGUUGAUAACGCGAAUGAGCCGUUCGGCUUCUUAGUUCGUAGAUCCGAGAUUUCGAACUGCUUUUAGGCAGUAAAUGAUAGCUUUUCCAUCUAACUGACUCUAAAAUCACACUCCCUUGUUACUGGACCCACAUUAGCGAUAGCGGAUACAAAAAUGCAGGGAAUUGAAAGACCGAGUUCGUGGCCUAUUGAGAGAAAAUGGAACUUCCCUUCCCAAAAGCACCUUUGACCUGCAGAAAAAUUAGGCCAAUUAUUAUGAUGCCAAGUCUGGAAAAACACCACAGGUUCGGUAUAUUAUUAUUGUCAAUAUUGUUAUACUGAGUUAGUUUUUUUUU